rnacentral:rRNA from 1 species
AUUGAACGCUGGCGGCAGGCCUAACACAUGCAAGUCGAACGAGUGGCGGACGGGUGAGUAAUGUCUGGGAAACUGCAUGAUGGAGGGGGAUAACUACUGGAAACGGUAGCUAAUACAGCAUACCAUCAGAUGUGCCCAGAUGGGAUUCGCGAGUUGGUGGGGUACCGGCUAACCAAGGAGACGAUCCCUAGCUGGUCUGAGAGUAUGACCAUCCACACUGGAACUGAGACACGGUCCAGACUCCUACGGGAGGCAGCAGUGGGGAAUAUGGCACAAUGGGCGCAAGCCUGAUGCAGCCAUGCCGCGUGUAUGAAGAAGGCCUUCGGGUUGUAAAGUACUUUCAGCGGGGAGGCGUUACCCGCAGAAGAAGCACCGGCUAACUCCGUGCCAGCAGCCGCGGUAAUUC